UUCUGUGUGAAAACAGAAGAAAGAUUUAACACUCUAUGGUGACCGCAGAGUAUCGGGACUCAUAUUUGCUGCAGAGGGGUGAGACGUGUGUUUUAGCCCGCGAUGCCGUAAACAGUCACCUGUGCAAGGGAAAGUGGGAAAGUGGGAUCGGCAUCUCCCGGCUGCCGGGUCGGGAUGGCCCUGCUUUGUCCCGGACGGCGUUCCGCGGGCUUCUCCGGCACUGCCAGGCACCGUCCCGGCCAAGAGCCGCCACCUGCGUUCCGCUUCCCGCCUCCUGGCCGCGCCCGGCCCCGCGGGGCGCCGGGGCGGAGCAGGACCUGUCCCGCCCCACUGGGCCGCAGGUCGGGUCUCCGCCUCCGCCCGUCCCGACCUGUCCAGUGCCGGUCGCGGUCAGAGGAUCCGCGCCCCCGGCGCCGGCCGAUGGAUCCCGAGGCGGCGGGGGACGAACUGUCCCGCUUGCGCUCGCUGUUCCUGGCGUGCGACGCCAACGGCUCGGGCCGCAUCGAGCGGGAGGACUUCGCGGCACUGUGCGCCGAGCUGCGGGUGCGGCCGGCCGAGGCCGAGGCCAUCUUCCAGCGCCUCGACAGCGACCGCGAUGGGGCCAUCACCUUCCCGGAGUUCGCCCGUGGCUUCCGCGGCGCCACGCGGCGGCAGCCCGGCGGCGGCGAGCCUGCGGGCGAGGAGGGCGAGGGGGAGGAGACGGCCGCGUGGGUCGCCGCGGGGCUGGAACAGCCCUGGAAGGACUUCGAGGUGCGGCUCGGGGACGAGGCGAGGUACAUCCCCAGACAAGAGCAGGUCAGUGUUCUGUAUCAGAACAUACACAUAGCGGAACCAAGAUUAAUCCAAUCAUACGAGCGUGUAAUUAAGAACUUCAUCCGAGAGAUCAAACUUCAAAGUACAGAGAUGGAAACUUUGGCCAUAGCAGUAAAAAGAGCUCAGGAGAAAGCAGCAGUUCAGCUAAGUGAGCUAGAGGAAGAGAUGGAACAACGGAUACAAGCUGCAGAGCAUAAUGUUAAAAAGGAAGAGAAGCGAAAAGCUGAAGAAGCACUAAAUGAACUGAAGCGCCAGUAUGAUACUGAAGUUGGGGAUCUUCAGGUGACAAUAAAAAAGCUUAAAAAGCUGGAGGAGCAAUCCAAAAAUGUAAAUCACAAGGAAGAUGUGGGUGAACUGAAAAAAAGAAUGCAUGAUAUGUUCCUGGAAAAUCAGAAACUUAAGAAAGAUCUUUUAGAAGCACAGACAAAUAUAGCUUUUCUACAGAGUGAAUUAGAUAGCUUGAAAAGCGAGUAUGCAGAUCAGUCUUUGAACACUGAGAGAGACCUAGAAAUUAUCCGAGAGUAUACUGAAGACAGAGAUAAUCUGGAAAGACAAAUUGAAAUACUGCAAUCAGCUAAUAGAAAGUUACAUGACAGCAAUGAUGGUUUAAGAAGUGCACUUGAAAACAGUUUCAGCAAGUACAACAGAUCAUUGCGGUUAGCAAACACCUCACCAGGAAGUACCAAUUCUAGAAGCAGUCCUAAAUUUAAUGGUGGACAUUCUCCUUUAAAUCCACGGUAUGACAGGUCAUCUCAUUCGUCUUGUGUGGAUGAAGAUUUUGAUUCUUUAGCCGUUUGUGAUCCUAUGCAAAGGAUAAACUGUGAAGUUGACAGCUUACCUGAGAGUUGUUUUGACAGUGGUUUAUCUACCCUGAGAGAUUCAAAUGAAUAUGAUUCAGAAGUGGAAUACAGGCAUCAAAGGAUUUUUCAAAGGCCACAGUGUAUGCAAGAAGGCUUUGGUGGUGAUGCUUCUGAUACAGAUGUUCCAGAGAUCAGGGAUGAAGAAGCGUACAGUCCUGAUAACAGUACUGCAGUAUUAGACUGGAAGCCCUCACGACCAGUGAGUCGAAGCAGCUCAAUUGCUUCAACACGGAAAUACAUAUCUGCUCUCACUCCCCAGAGGGAUUAUUUUUAUUUUCAGUCAGAUGCAACCGAAUGCACUCUAAAAUACCCCAGUUCAGAGAAGGCUUUCAAGAUUGUUCUUGCUGGAGAUGCAGCAGUGGGAAAAUCCAGUUUCCUCAUGAGACUUUGCAAGAAUGAAUUUCGAGGCAAUACCAGUGCAACUCUGGGUGUGGAUUUUCAAAUGAAAAGACUAAUUGUUGAUGGAGAAUCUACAGUGCUACAACUGUGGGACACAGCAGGGCAAGAGAGAUUCCGAAGUAUUGCUAAAUCAUACUUCAGAAGAGCGGAUGGUGUCUUACUACUGUAUGAUGUAACAUGUGAAAAAAGCUUUCUUAACGUGAGAGAAUGGGUGGAUAUGAUUGCGGAUGCAACUCAUGAGACUAUUCCAAUUAUGAUGGUGGGAAACAAGGUAGAUCUCCGUCAAGCUGUUACAGAACAAGGGCAAAAAUGUGUGCCUGUAAACUAUGGAGAAAGGCUGGCUAUGACUUAUAAUGCGCUAUUCUGUGAAACAAGUGCUAAAGAUGGAUCUAAUAUUGUAGAAGCAGUUCUUCAUCUUGCUCGUGAAGUGCGAAAACGAAGUGAGAAUCAAGAUGAUACGAGACUUUGGUUUCGCUGGUCUGAAGUAAUAUAAUACAAUGAAAUGAGCUCAGAAUGAGUGCUGUAGUAAUCACAGCAUACAACAUUGCAAUACAUGUUGUUGUCUGCACCUGCUUGUUUCUUUAUGGCUUUUUGAGGGCCUUCAGUUAUGUGUUGAGGAAACAUUUCUUACGGAAACUCCAAACCAUUAAAAGGCUGCCCAGGUCCAUACCCUAAGUUUAGGGCAUGAAGCAGAAUGAUCUCUGUCGGGAGAAGACAGUGGCAGGUGCAUGGGGUUCUGGUGUACUUUCUCAAAAGUUGGUGAGUUAGAAUGUGUUUUGUUUUGGGAGUUGGGGUUUGUUUCAGAACGGAAAAGUAUACUUUACAUCUGUUCUGACACAGCUCGAAGAUGAAAGAAACAUUUGUGUGGACUGUUACCAUUCAAAAUUCCAGAGAGAAUGUAACACCUGUUAUAUUCAUUGCUGGAAUGAAUUAAUGAUCCAACCUGCCUGUUUGUUUAGACUUUAUCAUUAUUAGUAUUACAGAGUGAUAGGGAUUGUAAUUUUCCCCUUGUAUUUUAAAUGUCUUCCAUUCAGUCAAUAAUUGAAGGAUUGUAAUAAUACAUAGGAGUCUGAUUUAAUGGAUAUUUUUUAUCCAUUUUUAAAGUUUUAAACUAUGUGAAAGAAUUGCUGCACAUGCACAAGCAUCUGUAUAAGCUGUUCAUUAAAAGGAGACCCUGAAAUGAACAGCAACCACUUACCUUAAUGAGAAUUCCUUUGCCUGAUUUUGGAAAAGUUCUGAGAAACUCAGCAGGGGGUGGUAGCUUUAAGUGUCAGCAUCUCUAAGAACUGAGUUAUUAUUGCUUAAAAUAGUUCCAAAGAGUUCUAUGCUAUAGUAAAAAUUGUAGGUAUUUAUACAGUUAACUGUCAUGAUCCAGUUCUUCUUAGCUUUCACUAAUUUUUAUCAGAAUGGGAUCUUUUCAGAACCAGCAGGUUUGUCUCCUCUGUAUCUAUUAAUAACACAUCUCCAGGCUAGCUCCAUAAAUCAACCUUAGAUAAAGUUUUAUGGACUGAUUGGAAACCCAUAUGACUAGCAGCAGUUACUGCAUUUUAUCAGCAUUGUAUUUGAACACUGUAUAGUCUGUACAGUGUUACCUGUUGUAUAAAAUGUAGAGUUGUCAAAACCAGAAUGAUUUGUAAUUUACAGAAAAAAAUGUUUAAAGUAGGAAGAGCAGUGUUUUUAGGCAUCCUUACCAGAGCGGUUAAUCCUCAGGUAAUUAUCUGGAAGUUUGUUCUUAACAAGACAGAAAAAUCUAGUACUGGAAUGAAUAAGACAUUUUAUUUCACAGUAUAGUAAUUUAGCUCCAAAAGAGAAACGUAUUUGGUAGUUUGGUUUUUUCUUAAGUACUAAAAGAAUCUUCACACACUACUUUAUUCUAUGUGGGAGACUUCAGGGUUGUAGCAUCUUCCCACUCAACAGUACAAGAGGCCUCACUGUAGUCCUGAGACUUAUCUGGAGCUGAUGGCAGAGAACGAAGGACACUCAGGUGUAUGAGAAAUAUGCUUAGUCACAUACAUUUUGUCUGCUAUUAACCCUGUACUAUUUAAACAAGAAAGUUACAGUUCCAAUUAGCUUUUCUGAGGAGAAAAACCAUGUUGAACUGAUUGCAUUGAUGAGGGCCUCUUCUGCGUCCUUCUCUCUUUCCAUGAGUGAAAUUGAAGUAGUAUUAAUUUGGGUUGUAUUUGCAGAUAGUUCUUCCUGGAGCAGUAGGGAGAAAAGAGGAAGAUGAUCCAGUGCUUGGUUUCUGAAGUGUGACCUUACAACAUGUAGGUAUUUGCAUUUUCUCAGGAUAAGAAGGUCAUGAUUAUAAGUUUUCUGAAAAAUCCAUAUACUAAGAGCCUCAAAAAUGGUCAAGAGACAGAAGAACUAACUAAAACUUUCACUCAAAUAAAAGGGAGGGUUCCUUGGACAAUGCCCCAGUGAGGUCUCUCAGCUUGACAGGGGUCGCAGCCUCUUUUAUCCACUCUGCCCAAAACUCAAGUCCCUCCCCGUUUCUCCACUGAGUGAGGUAUUCCGGGGUUACAGACUGUCUGACAUGCCUACUACAUGUCCCCCAUUACAUGCUCAUUAAGGGCUUUGGGGGUCCCCAACAUUUUCAAAAUGGAGGUUACUGCAUAUUUAUCCCUUGCUGCUGUUGGUCUCCGUGUUCUGGGCACUGUAUUAUCUCAUACUGGACAACUACAUAACUGUUCUAUCCCCUCCUACUAAGUUAACUAUGACUACUACAAACUUUGCAAUAUUAUUAUUCCUAAUAAUCCUCCCUUUUUUUAAAAAUUAUGUUCUUGCAAAAGGGAGUACCAUUUUGUUAAUAGUUGUCUCUUGAUCUGCUUCAAUAUCUAUGGUUAAAGUUUCUUGAGAAUGAGUAGUUGGUAAUUCUCAUUUACACACUAUUUUCAGAGCCAUUAUUUUCUGUCCUUUAAUUGCCAUUUCAGAGUCAUUAGGCAUAGCUACUAAUUGCAUCCCCUUCAUCACAUGUGCAAUAAGUUGCAUAAGACAAGGAAUCACACAAGGCAGGAAAAUUAAGGUAGCUUACCUGCAAAAAACAAAGAAUAGUAUUUUCUUUAUUGCUGGUCCAACUGCAAGCCAUGAAAACAUAUCUAUGCCCCACUCCUUCCAAGUUUCAACUGGGACAUGGACUAACUUUCGGAUUUGUUUUGUUAUUUGUUUUACUCUUUUUCCAUUGUCAUCGAUUUGCAGGCAGCAAUUUGAGUUAUUUAAUUUUCCACAUACUCCACUUUCCACUGCUAACAAAAAAUCAAAAACCAUUUGGUGUUUAAAGUUGGCAGUUCUCAUUUGGGUUACUUGGUCUGCCAGCAAGUCUAACACUAGCUCUUUGAUUGGCAAUAAUCUCUAAUAUAGCUUGGAGUCAAAUUAUAUGAUUUAAAUUAUAGAUGGACUCUCUUGUUCCAUGAAUCAAUUCACGGGGGUUCCGUGAUAUUGUUAUCUUGCGGCUGUUAGCUGGGACAAAUGGGUUU